AAUCAACGCUGGCGGCGUGCCUAACACAUGCAAGUCGAACGAGAAAGUGGGGGCAACUCCAUGAGUAAAGUGGCAGACGGGUGAGUAACACGUGAACAACCUACCCUUGAGUGUGGAAUAACACCGCGAAAGCGGUGCUAAUACCGCAUAACAUCUUCGGGUCGCAUGAUCUGGAGAUCAAAAGCGCAAGUUGCUUGAGGAGGGGUUCGCGCCUGAUUAGCUAGUUGGUGAGGUAACGGCCCACCAAGGCUUCGAUCAGUAGCCGGCCUGAGAGGGCGAACGGCCACACUGGAACUGAGACACGGUCCAGACUCCUACGGGAGGCAG
rnacentral:rRNA from 1 species